GGUUGGUCUGAGUGCAGUGGUGUUACAACUAAUUGAUUGCAACCAGUCACAGAUUCCUUUGUUCCUUCUCCACUCCCACUGUUUCACUUGACCAGACUUAA
rnacentral:Y_RNA from 1 species